rnacentral:rRNA from 1 species
GCGAUUGGAUGAGCCCAUGUCGGAUUAGCUAGUUGGCGGGGUAAAGGCCCACCAAGGCGACGAUCCGUAGCUGGUCUGAGAGGAUGAUCAGCCACACUGGGACUGAGACACGGCCCAGACUCCUACGGGAGGCAGCAGUGGGGAAUAUUGCACAAUGGGCGCAAGCCUGAUGCAGCGACGCCGCGUGAGGGAUGACGGCCUUCGGGUUGUAAACCUCUGUUAGCAGGGAAGAAGAGAGAUUGACGGUACCUGCAGAGAAAGCGCCGGCUAACUACGUGCCAGCAGCCGCGGUAAUACGUAGGGUGCGAGCGUUAAUCGGAAUUACUGGGCGUAAAGCGCGCGUAGGUGGUUUGUUAAGUUGGAUGUGAAAUCCC